CUCGAACGGUAAGGCCCCUUCGGGGGUACACGAGUGGCGAACGGGUGAGUAACACGUGGGUAAUCUGCCCUGCACUUCGGGAUAAGCCUGGGAAACCGGGUCUAAUACCGGAUAUGAACUCCUGCCGCAUGGUGGGGGUUGGAAAGUUUUUCGGUGCAGGAUGAGCCCGCGGCCUAUCAGCUUGUUGGUGGGGUAAUGGCCUACCAAGGCGACGACGGGUAGCCGGCCUGAGAGGGUGAUCGGCCACACUGGGAUGAGACACGGCCCAGACUCCUACGGGAGGCAGCAGUGGGGAAUAUUGCACAAUGGGCGAAAGCCUGAUGCAGCGACGCCGCGUGGGGGAUGACGGUCUUCGGAUUGUAAACCCCUUUCAGUAGGGACGAAGCGCAAGUGACGGUACCUGCAGAAGAAGCACCGGCUAACUACGUGCCAGCAGCCGCGGUAAUACGUAGGGUGCGAGCGUUGUCCGGAAUUACUGGGCGUAAAGAGCUCGUAGGCGGUUUGUCACGUCGUCUGUGAAAUCCCUCGGCUUAACCGGGGGCGUGCAGGCGAUACGGGCAGACUUGAGUACUACAGGGGAGACUGGAAUUCCUGGUGUAGCGGUGAAAUGCGCAGAUAUCAGGAGGAACACCGGUGGCGAAGGCGGGUCUCUGGGUAGUAACUGACGCUGAGGAGCGAAAGCAUGGGUAGCGAACAGGAUUAGAUACCCUGGUAGUCCAUGCCGUAAACGGUGGGCGCUAGGUGUGGGGUCCUUCCACGGACUCCGUGCCGUAGCUAACGCA
rnacentral:rRNA from 1 species